rnacentral:rRNA from 1 species
GAUGAACGCUAGCGGCAGGCCUAAUACAUGCAAGUCGGACGGGAUUCAGGAGCUUGCUUCUGAUGAGAGUGGCGCACGGGUGCGUAACACGUAUGUAACCUACCUUUAUCAGGGGGAUAGCCUCUCGAAAGAGAGAUUAAGCCCGCAUAAAAUCACAGCACAGCAUCGUGUAAUGAUCAAAUAUUUAUAGGAUAAAGAUGGGCAUGCGGAACAUUAGCUAGAUGGCGGGGUAACGGCCCACCAUGGCGACGAUGUUUAGGGGAUCUGAGAGGAUGGCCCCCCACACUGGUACUGAGACACGGACCAGACUCCUACGGGAGGCAGCAGUAAGGAAUAUUGGUCAAUGGGCGGAAGCCUGAACCAGCCAUGCCGCGUGCAGGAAGACGGCCCUACGGGUUGUAAACUGCUUUUAUACGGGAAUAAACCCAGAUACGUGUAUCUGGCUGAAUGUACUGUAAGAAUAAGGAUCGGCUAACCCCGUG